rnacentral:rRNA from 1 species
GACAGAGGUGGCAAGCGUUGUUCGGAAUUACUGGGCUUAAAGGGCGCGUAGGUGGUAGUGCAAGUCUGAGGUGGAAUCCCAUGGCUUAACCAUGGAACUGCCCUGGAAACUGCACUACUUGAGUCAGUGAGGGGAGGGUAGAAUUCCUGGUGUAGCGGUGAAAUGCGUAGAUAUCAGGAGGAAGGCCGGUGGCGAAGGCGGCCCUCUGGCGCUGAACUGACACUGAGGCGCGAAAGCGUGGGGAGCAAACAGG